AUGAACGCUGACAGAAUGCUUUACACAUGCAAGUCGAUGGGGAAGUGGUGCUUGCACCAUGGCAACCAUGGCGGACGGGUGAGUAACGCGUAAGGGACUUACCUGCAGGACUGGGAUAACAGGGGGAAACUCCUGACAAGACCGGAUAAUGUCAUGGAGCUGCAUGGCUUUAUGAUGAAAGGAGACGCCUGCGGAGAGCCUUGCGUCCUAUUAGCUAGUUGGUGAGGUAAUGGCUCACCAAGGCGAAGAUAGGUAGCCGGCCUGAGAGGGUGGACGGCCACAAGGGGACUGAGAUACGGCCCUUACUCCUACGGGAGGCAGCAGUGGGGAAUAUUUGACAAUGGGGGCAACCCUGAUCCAGCAAUUCUGUGUGCACGAAGAAGGUUUUCGGAUUGUAAAGUGCUUUCAGCAGGGAAGAAGUAAGUGACGGUACCUGCAGAAGAAGCGACGGCUAAAUACGUG
rnacentral:rRNA from 1 species